CCUACGGGUGGCAGCAGUGAGGAAUAUUGGUCAAUGGGCGUAAGCCUGAACCAGCCAAGUCGCGUGAGGGAUGAAGGUUCUAUGGAUCGUAAACCUCUUUUAUAAGGGAAUAAAGUGCGGGACGUGUCCCGUUUUGUAUGUACCUUAUGAAUAAGGAUCGGCUAACUCCGUGCCAGCAGCCGCGGUAAUACGGAGGAUCAGAGCGUUAUCCGGAUUUAUUGGGUUUAAAGGGUGCGUAGGCGGCCUUUUAAGUCAGCGGGGAAAGUCGGUGGCUCAACCAUAGAAUUGCCGUUGAAACUGGGAGGCUUGAGUAUGUUUGAGGCAGGCGGAAUGCGUGGUGUAGCGGUGAAAUGCUUAGAUAUCACGCAGAACCCCGAUUGCGAAGGCAGCCUGCCAAGCCAUGACUGACGCUGAUGCACGAAAGCGUGGGGAUCAAACAGGAUUAGAUACCCUAGUAGUC
rnacentral:rRNA from 1 species